UACAGAGGUCUCAAGCGUUGUUCGGAUUCAUUGGGCGUAAAGGGUGCGUAGGUGGCGCGGUAAGUCGGGUGUGAAAUUUCGGAGCUUAACUCCGAAACUGCAUUCGAUACUGCCGUGCUUGAGGACUGGAGAGGAGACUGGAAUUUACGGUGUAGCGGUGAAAUGCGUAGAUAUCGUAAGGAAGACCAGUGGCGAAGGCGGGUCUCUGGACAGUUCCUGACGCUGAGGCGCGGAAAAGCCCAGGGGGAGCAAACGGG
rnacentral:rRNA from 1 species